GCCAGACUCCUACGGGAGGCAGCAGUGGGGGAUAUUGCACAAUGGGGGGAACCCUGAUGCAGCGACGCCGCGUGGGUGAAGGAGCGUUUCGGCGCGUAAAGCCCUAUCGGCAGGGAAGAAGGAGGACGGUACCUGACUAAGAAGCCCCGGCUAACUACGUGCCAGCAGCCGCGGUAAUACGUAGGGGGCAAGCGUUAUCCGGAUUUACUGGGUGUAAAGGGGGCGCAGACGGCAGCGCAAGCCAGGAGUGAAAGCCCGGGGCCCAACCCCGGGACUGCUCUUGGAACUGCGCGGCUGGAGUGCAGGAGGGGCAGGCGGAAUUCCUAGUGUAGCGGUGAAAUGCGUAGAUAUUAGGAGGAACACCGGUGGCGAAGGCGGCCUGCUGGACUGUAACUGACGUUGAGGCUCGAAAGCGUGGGGAGCAAACAGGAUUAGAUACCCGCGUA
rnacentral:rRNA from 1 species